AUUGAACGCUGGCGGCAUGCCUUACACAUGCAAGUCGAACGGCAGCGCGGGCUUCGGCCUGGCGGCGAGUGGCGAACGGGUGAGUAAUGUAUCGGAACGUGCCCUAGAGUGGGGGAUAACUAGUCGAAAGAUUGGCUAAUACCGCAUACGAUCUAAGGAUGAAAGCGGGGGAUCGCAAGACCUCGUGCUCAUGGAGCGGCCGAUAUCUGAUUAGCUAGUUGGUGGGGUAAAGGCCUACCAAGGCGACGAUCAGUAGCUGGUCUGAGAGGACGCCCGGGCACACUGGGACUGAGACACGGCACAGACUCCUACGGGAGGCAGCAGUGGGGAAUUUUGGACAAUGGGGGCAACCCGGAUCCAGCAAUGCCGGGUGUGUGAAGAAGGCCUUCGGGUUGUAAAGCACUUUUGUCCGGAAAGAAAUUGCCUGAGCUAAUACCUUUGGUAGAUGACGGUACCGGAAGAAUAAGCACCGGCUAACUACGUGCCAGCAGCCGCGGUAA
rnacentral:rRNA from 1 species